rnacentral:piRNA from 1 species
UUAAAAAAAAACCAUCACAAG